AGGUGUGAUCGUACCAACACUAAUGCACCAGAUCCCAUUAGAACUCCGUAGUUAAGGGUCUUAGGCAAGAGUAGUACUAGGAUGGGAGAUGUAAUCGAUUCCAUGUGUUACACCUC
rfam:Lupinus angustifolius cultivar Tanjil contig_33570, whole genome shotgun sequence.